UAGGGAAUCUUCGGCAAUGGGGGGAACCCUGACCGAGCAACGCCGCGUGAGUGAAGAAGGUUUUCGGAUCGUAAAGCUCUGUUGUUAAGGAAGAACGAGUGUGAGAAUGGAAAGUUCAUACUGUGACGGUACUUGACCAGCAAGGGACGGCUAACUACGUGCCAGCAGCCGCGGUAAUACGUAGGUCCCGAGCGCUGUCCGGAUUUAUUGGGCGUAAAGCGAGCGCAGGCGGUUAGAAAAGUCUGAAGUGAAAGGCAGUGGCUCAACCAUUGUAGGCUUUGGAAACUGUUUAACUUGAGUGCAGAAGGGGGGAGUGGAAUUCCAUGUGUAGCGGUGAAAUGCGUAGAUAUAUGGGGGAACACCGGUGGCGGAAGCGGCUCUCUGGUCUGUAACUGACGCUGAGGCUCGAAAGCGUGGGUAGCAAACAGG
rnacentral:rRNA from 1 species